AUCAGCUAGUGAAUUAUAAUAUUUUUUUCUAUAAUUUCAAUAACUACGCUCAACAUAAGUAAAUUUUAUUUUUCACGUUUAAAACUUACAGUGGAAGUACAUGGAUGGGGCGACGAAGUUUUACUCGGCGUCUUCCAGGUUUUUCCGGCGGGAAUCAGGGAUGACACCCCAGAUUGACUUGGAAAGGACCAGAGCUAUCUACGUCCUUGACGAACCGGUAUUUGUCAAGUUGACGAUUCAAAGCACUUGUAAAGUUUAUUUGCAUAAAAAUCUAUUUUUAUGUUUAAACAAAACAUUAUUAAACAAGUACUUAGGUACCUAUUAGCCAUUUUAAGGACAGGAUUAAGUUCGGGAGUUUGGCUGGAGUGGAAUAUAUCCCAAAACCUAUUAAAACUUCGUUUGUGAGAGCCAGCCUCUGAGUAAAUCGUUAUUAUAGCUCUAUUAAUGUGCUACUAGCACUUG